CCUAGAGUUGUAGGCUUUGCCUUGCUAUCUCUUACCCAUGUCUUUUGAGUACCUUCGUUUCGCUCGGCGGGUCCGACCCGCCGAAUUGGGACAAUUUAAAAAUCAUUGGCAGUUGCAAUCAGCGUCUGAAAAAACUCUAAUAGUUAC
rnacentral:misc_RNA from 1 species